rnacentral:sRNA from 1 species
GCAUCCAAAUUCUCUCCAGGAGGACAAAUAAAAAUCCUGUGCUGAUUGGUGAGCUUGGUGUUGGAAAGACUGUCAUUUCUGAAGGCAAUGAAGAGGAAUGCUCUUCAUGGACUGAGUGUGCCUAAAUUUUGCAAGUUGCUCGGUUCAAAUGCCAGACGUCUGCAACCUAUGAAUUAAAAGAGGAGUUGAAGAUAGGUAGCUAUUAGGGAAUCUUAUUAAUUAGAAUUCUGAUUACCUUAUGAGUUGUAAAAUAAUUCUCUCGGAGACUCUAUUUAUGAGUUGUUCUGAUCAUGAGUUGUAAAAUAAUU